GCAGAAUGUUUAACCUUACUUGGUCAAAAGGAGAGGGGGAUCCUUCCUCAGCAUGUUUCAAAUUGUGUUUUAAUGCCAGAAAUUGAACAGUUUUUAAUUCCAGUAUAGGAGAAAAGUUUGGUAACAGUUUUCAGUGCUUUCAAGCAGUUUGAGCAGAGAUGGUCAAUUCAAAAAUCCUUAUUGUCUCUCCAUGUGGAAUUUCCAGAAUUUCAUCAUUUGGAUCCUUUGAUUGAAUAUCAU